AGAGAGAGACAUGCGCGCAUAUCAAUAAGCGGAGGAAAAGAAACUAACAAGGAUUCCCCUAGUAACGGCGAGUGAAGCGGGAAGAGCUCAAAUUUGAAAUCUUAAAGGGUUUCCCUUUACGAAUUGUAGUUUAAAGAAGUGUUUUCUGUUGAGGUUUUGGUAAAAGUUCUUUGGAAUAGGACAUCAUAGAGGGUGAGAAUCCCGUAUUUGACCUUUACUUCCAACUUUGUGAUACACUUUCAAAGAGUCGGAUUGUUUGGGAAUGCAGUCCAAAAUGGGUGGUAAAUUUCAUCUAAAGCUAAAUAUUGGCGAGAGACCGAUAGCGAACAAGUACCGUGAGGGAAAGAUGAAAAGAACUUUGAAAAGAGAGUUAAACAGUACGUGAAAUUGUCAAAAGGGAAGCGUUUGACACCAGUGUUGUUUUUCUGAAAAUCAAUUAAAGAACUGUUUAUGCUAAGCUGUUUAGACUUUAUCAGCUAUCUGUUUAGUUUUGAGCUUUUCUUUAAUGCACUUUUCAGUUAACAAGUCAACAUCAAUUUCUUUUGCUGUAAAAAAGCUUGAGGAAGGUGGCUUGAGAUUCGUCUUAAGUGUUUAUAGCCUCUUGCCUAUGCAGUCGGAGAGAUUGAGGUCUGCAGCGUAGAUCCUUCGGGGCUAAAUGCAUUUGUGCUAAGUUAUAGCAUUUUAUAGACAACUUGUUGACUAUGAUUUGUCUUGUAGCUUACUCGCUUAUGUUAUUUUACCUACGCUUAGGAUGUUGAGCGCAUGUCUCUCUCU
rnacentral:rRNA from 1 species